GAACGGCUUUUACAUCCAAGGAAGGCAGCAGGCGCGCAAAUUACCCAAUCCCGACACGGGGAGGUAGUGCCAAUAAAUACUGAUCCAGGGCUCUUUUGGGUCUUGUAAUUGGAAUGAGUACAAUUUAAAUCCCUUAACGAGGAACAAUUGGAGGGCAAGUCUGGUGAGCAUUGCUGGCGCCAGAAAUAGCCGCCCCCUCCCUAAACAAAGCGGCUAGUCGAGCGCUCGACGAGUGACGGGUGAGCGCCGGCGAGACAACCUGGAUCGGGGAAGGCUAAGGGCCGUCGUGCCUAUGCCGAUCCCGAGCAGAGCCAGUUCGCUGGCCUGUGUAGAGCGCGCCAAGGUGUCGGUCCCGAGGUCUCCUCGGGGCUUAAGGUACGUGCCAAUCCCCCGCGAAAGCGGGGCCCUGCGAAGUAGCACCCGUCGUGCGAAGUCCCAGGGAGCCCUCCCCCCCGGAGGGCGUCGACAUGGCCAGCAGCCGCGGUAAUUCCAGCUCCAAUAGCGUAUAUUAAAGUUGUUGUGGUUAAAAAGCUCGUAGUUGAACCUUGGGCCUGGCUGGCCGGUCCGCCUCACCGCGUGUACUGGUCCGGCCGGGCCUUUCCCUCUGUGGAACCCCAUGCCCUUCACUGGGUGUGGCGGGGAAACAGGACUUUUACUUUGAAAAAAUUAGAGUGCUCCAGGCAGGCCUAUGCUCGAAUACAUUAGCAUGGAAUAAUGAAAUAGGACGCGCGGUUCUAUUUUGUUGGUUUCUAGGACCGCCGUAAUGAUUAAUAGGGACAGUCGGGGGCAUCAGUAUUCAAUUGUCAGAGGUGAAAUUCUUGGAUUUAUUGAAGACUAACUACUGCGAAAGCAUUUGCCAAGGAUGUUUUCAUUAAUCAGGAACGAAAGUUAGGGGAUCGAAGACGAUCAGAUACCGUCGUAGUCUUAACCAUAAACUAUGCCGACUAGGGAUCGGACGAUGUUAUUUUUUGACUCGUUCGGCACCUUACGAGAAAUCAAAGU
rnacentral:rRNA from 1 species